UACGUAGGGAGCAAGCGUUGUCCGGAAUCAUUGGGCGUAAAGGGCGCGUAGGCGGCAAUGCGUGUCUUCCGUGAAAUCCCUCGGCUCAACCGAGGACGUGCGGAAGAAACUGCAAGGCUCGAGUCCGGAAGAGGGGGGCGGAAUUCCCAGUGUAGCGGUGAAAUGCGUAGAUAUUGGGAGGAACACCAGUGGCGAAGGCGGCGAUCUGGGAAGAUACUGACGCUGAGGUGCGGAAGCGUGGGGAGCAAACAGG
rnacentral:rRNA from 1 species